rnacentral:rRNA from 1 species
ACAGCGGGAGGUCGAGCCCAAGCAUGAGGACGUACGGCCGCCGGACAAACACCGCCUCGCCGUAUUGGCCGCUUCCGCCCCUGGACAUCGCGGCGGCUGUGCGGCCGCUCCGCCUUGGCCCCUGCCGCCCAUGCGGACGUGGCGCCUCGCCGUAUUCACUGCUGACCUCGCCGCCGCUCGUGCGGCCGCGGCGCCUCGCCCUAUUUGCCGUUGACCUCGCGGGGGCUCGUGCGGCUGCGGCGCCUCGCCGUAUUCACCGCUGACCUUGCCGGCACUCGUGCGGCCGCGUCGUCUCGCCGUAUUGGUCGCUGCCGCUAGGGAGGAGCCGCCGGCGAGGAGGGGAAGCGGCAGGGCAGAGUAGGGAGGCGAGGCGCCGGGGAUAGUGGGCUGCCGCGAGGAAGGAGCCGCCGGCGAGGGGAAGCGGCAGGGCAGAGUAGGGAGGCGAGGCGCAGGGGAUAGGAU